CACACCCAAAUUUCGAUUCAUUUGGCUUCGCUCGCUCGUGUGUAUUGUGAAACCAAAAGUUGGAAAACGUUUCAAACAUCAAAAAUGGAUGCGAAUAAGCGUGUGUGUGUGUGUGCGCGCACGAGUAUCAAGUGAAAUGUGGCGG
ensembl:ncRNA W09H1.7 ncRNA